rnacentral:rRNA from 1 species
UACGUAGGGUGCAAGCGUUGUCCGGAAUUAUUGGGCGUAAAGAGCGUGUAGGCGGCCAGACAGGUCCGUUGUGAAAACUCGAGGCUCAACCUCGAGAUGUCGAUGGAAACCGUCUGGCUAGAGUCCGGAAGAGGAGUGUGGAAUUCCUGGUGUAGCGGUGAAAUGCGCAGAUAUCAGGAAGAACACCUAUGGCGAAGGCAGCACUCUGGGACGGUACUGACGCUGAGACGCGAAAGCGUGGGGAGCGAACAGG